CCUACGGGUGGCAGCAGUGAGGAAUAUUGGUCAAUGGCCGGAAGGCUGAACCAGCCAUGCCGCGUGAAGGGCAGGGGCCUAAGGGCGUUAAACUUCUUUUGUGCGGGAGCAAUAAUGGUCACGUGUGGCCAGACGAGAGUACCGUACGAAUAAGCAUCGGCCAACUCCGUGCCAGCAGCCGCGGUAAUACGGGGGAUGCAAGCGUUAUCCGGAUUUAUUGGGUUUAAAGGGUGCGUAGGCUGUGAGGUAAGUCAGCGGUGAAAUGCCCCCGCUCAACGGGGUGAAGUGCCAUUGAUACUGGCUGGCUGGAGUGCAGAUGCCGUAGGAGGAAUGUGUGGUGUAGCGAUGAAAUGCAUAGAUAUCACGCAGAACACCGAUUGCGAAGGCAUCUCACGAAUCCGCGAUUGACGCUGAUGCACGAAAGCGUGGGUAUCAAACAGGAUUAGAUACCCUAGUAGUC
rnacentral:rRNA from 1 species